rnacentral:rRNA from 1 species
AUGUGUUGGAAUGUUAGGGGCCUAAACAGCCCGGCUAGGAAAAAGGCUGUUAGAGAAUUUGUGUCUUCGGUGAAAGUAAACCUAGUAUGUCUACAAGAUACUAAUCUUGAUGUAAUCGACCCCUUCAUUGUUAUGCAAUGCAUUGGACCAUCUCUUGAUGGUUUUGCUUAUCCACCGGCGCAUGAAACACGUGGUGGCAUCCUAUUGGCAUGGGACAAAACGGUAAUGGAGAGUUGA